CACGUACCGUCCAAACGUUAUUCGGUAUCACUGGGCUUAAAGCGUUCGUAGGCGGGUUGGAAGGUGAGAUGUGAAAGCCCACGGCUCAACCGUGGAAUUGCGUUUCAAACCACCAGUCUUGAGGAAGACAGGGGUGAAGGGAACUUAUGGUGGAGCGGUGAAAUGCGUUGAUAUCAUAGGGAACACCGGUGGCGAAAGCGCUUCACUGGGUCUUUUCUGACGCUGAGGAACGAAAGCUAGGGUAGCGAACGGG
rnacentral:misc_RNA from 1 species